CGGCUUCUGAGCAACCUAGGACAAUGUUCUUUUUUUUUAAUUUAAAGAAAAAUCGCAUCUUUUAAAUGCAUUUUACCCCAUUUUGAUAGCGUUAAUAUUUUAAAAAUCAUUUUAUUGUUAAUUAGGCUUAUUUUUAUUUGAGGCACUUAAUUGCAUUGCACACAUUUCGCAAUACCGAUAUAUAAUACUGCAACUUUUUAAGAAGAGAAAAAACUUUGGUUCAUGUUCGUGCAUGGUCUCAAAAAUGUAGAAAUUAAAUUUUAGCGCGUUUUGGUUAAACAAUUGCCAUUACUCGAAAAGUGGUUAAUAUUUUUUUAUGAAAUUUGGUACACUUUUUUAUCGUCAUAAAAGCUAUAUUUUCCUACAAUUUCAAAUGCUUAAGUUAAUUUCUAAGAAAGUUAUAAACAAUUAAAGAAAUGGUCAUUUUUUAUGGUUUUUUCUACUCUACAACCAAACUAAUCGACCGAUCUUAAUGAACCAAACUUAUUAUUGUAGAUCUACUUAAUAUCUACAACUUUUGUUUGAAACUUUUUUCGAUUCCGUUUUUAGUUUACGAAACGCAAGCAAAAAACUACUUUUUCCUCACUUCAACCCGUAAUUUUGCAAUAACCCCCAGCUUUUUGCGAGUUGCAAACGUACCUAUCUUAAUCUACACAUAUUAAUUGUGCUUUAUGCACAGUCAAACCUGAGUUAUCAAUUUUUUUUUUUGAAAAAAUGCUAAUUCUACUAAACUACUCUUGUGCAGACCGUUGCCGAGUAAAAAAAAGAUAGAUAGUACUUUCUCGCACGUGUGACAAAGAAACAAAGCUCGAGGGAGUAAAUUGCCAAGUACUGCGUUGCCACAUUUUGACAUAUCCUCUUGCUAAUAACUGUGGAUACCUAAGUAUAGUCAAUACAGUAAAAAUAAUCUUGAUAUCAACGGAUUCUAUAAAAAAUGCCGUAUAUUUCAUUGCAGAUCUGAUACAUUUUUUUAAGCCCUAUCAAUUAUUUGCAUAAAAUGUCACAGUGUAACUGUUAGAACAAAAGUUAGCACAAACGACUGCUAGUUCGAUAUAUAUAUGUCACUAUAGCGAUGUCUCUUUUCCUUUACUCAGUAACAGUUUUCAUAGGCGAUCCACGGUCCAGUAGUAUGUAGUCUAAGCACAAUGUUUAUUCUUUGAUUAAUUGGUUUUAAAGAAACUUGCGCUAUAUAUAGGUUUUUAGAUAGCUGAAUACAAAUUCAUGAACAAAAUUAAAAAUGGCAAACUCCAAUAUGAUCUGACUAAAGUGUUAGUUUCAAAAUUGAUUGUUCGACAAAAUCUUGUAUGAAUGGCUGCGUUCAACGGAGAAUGUAGCGGUGGAACUGUUGUAAAAUUCUCCAAUUUGUUCUUGCCCUUAGUUCGUGUUGAAAACUAAAUGUAUAAACCAAUUGUUGUGAGCGUGGCUCUCACAACCAAUAAUAAAUAAAAUAAUAUUAAAAUUAAAUUUAAAAAGAUAUUAGAGCUCGUCGAAGAAGACUCAUUAUCGCGAGGUGUCGAAUAACACAUGCCUCGUGUGCUGCUGGCCGACCAUCGCACCGGUCAACGCAUCUCGGAAUUUAGCUUAGCAAUAAUCAUGUCAUCGAAAAUGCAUAUUUGCGUUUUGGCAAUUGUUGCUAAGCUGCAAAUAUUUCCCGCGCGCCGAAUGCGCGCGGAUAAUGACCAAAUAUAGUCAUGCUAAGUGCCUAUUGCCUCACUAUUAUACCAAACCCGCAGUACUACUUAAGCACCCGCCAAAUAAUGGGCCGCGGAACAGUCAUUAGUCAAUCAAACCGAUAUGUACGGCCCGCGAGAUUAGAGUACGGAACUUAGAAUUCGGGACUUAUGCUGCUUUCCAUUUACAUCAAAACUCAGAUAAAUUUCACUUGUGACGUCAUAACUCAGUUAAAUGCACGUUCCUUUUGCAUUUUCACAAGUGAGAUUCAACUGAGUUUUUUUCCUACAAUCUGAGCAAUUUCAAGACCGUGUGCUUUACUGAUUAUAAAUGGAAAGCAGCAUUAGUCACAGCGAACCUCGAGCGAGCGAAUAUACAGCGCGCUAUCUCAGAGCCGCGCGCCGUAUCUAAUCACCUCUGUGUAAGACACCUUCGCCGACCGCAAGUAUAAGAAACUACAGUGUAUCAUACGGCGAAUAAACAUUCUGUUAAUUAGCAAAAA